rnacentral:rRNA from 1 species
AUUGAACGCUGGCGGCAUGCCUUACACAUGCAAGUCGAACGGCAGCACGGGUGCUUGCUCCUGGUGGCGAGUGGCGAACGGGUGAGUAAUACAUCGGAACGUACCUUAUCGUGGGGGAUAACGCAGCGAAAGCUGUGCUAAUACCGCAUACGCCCUGAAGGGGAAAGCGGGGGAUCGCAAGACCUCGCGCGAUUAGAGCGGCCGAUGCCUGAUUAGCUUGUUGGUGGGGUAAAAGCCCACCAAGGCGACGAUCAGUAGCUGGUCUGAGAGGACGAUCAGCCACACAGGGACUGAGACACGGCCCAGACUCCUACGGGAGGCAGCAGUGGGGAAUGUUGGACAAUGGGGGCAACCCUGAUCCAGCAAUGCCGCGUGAGUGAAGAAGGCCUUCGGGUUGUAAAGCUCUUUUGUCAGGGAAGAAACACCGGCUCUAACACAGUCCGGGAAUGACGGUACCUGAAGAAUAAGCACCGGCUAACUACGUGCCAGCAGCCGCAGUAA